GACGUAGGAUGCGAGCGUUUAUUCGGAUUUAUUGGGCGUAAAGCGUGCGUAGGCGGCUGUUUAAGUCUGGUGUUAAAGCUAGGGGCUCAACCCCUGUGAUGCACUGGAAACUGGGCAGCUUGAGUGCGGUAGGGGAAGGUGGAAUUCCGAGUGUAGCGGUGAAAUGCGUAGAUAUUCGGAAGAACACCGGUGGCGAAGGCGACCUUCUGGGCCGCAACUGACGCUGAGGCACGAAAGCCUGGGGAGCGAACGGG
rnacentral:rRNA from 1 species